rnacentral:rRNA from 1 species
UACAGAGACUGCAAGCGUUAUUCGGAUUCACUGGGCGUAAAGGGUGCGCAGGCGGCCGUGUGUGUCAGGUGUGAAAUCCCGGGGCUUAACCCCGGAACUGCGCCUGAAACUACACGGCUAGAGUAUUGGAGAGGGUAGCGGAAUUCCCAGUGUAGCGGUGAAAUGCGUAGAUAUUGGGAGGAACACCAGUGGCGAAGGCGGCUACCUGGACCGGUUCUGACGCUGAGGCGCGAAAGCGUGGGUAGCAAACAGG